rnacentral:lncRNA from 1 species
CGGCCUUUUCAAGAUCGAAGUGCAAAAAUCAGGUGGCAAAAAUUUUUAUUCAGAAUUCAGGUAGUAUAUAUAUCCUACUUCAUCCAACUCCAAACCCUAGAAUUCAAAUUCAAUUCCCCGUCUUCUCUCUACAUCUCUCUUCACUUCUCUGCCUUUUUUUUUUUAACACCGAUGACCAUUCAAACUCCGACAACCGACGAUGUAAGAGUUGUGCCGACCCAAACAACAAUGAAGGAGUUGUGCCGACAACCCAUUCUCUUCUCUCUCUCUCUUCCCGAUGCUCUGUCAUCGUUCCAUCCGGCGCGAUACACAUAUCCACCUCCAACACGACACACAGUCGUUGCAGAUCCGACUUUUCUCUGGAGGGACACACUUCUCCAUCGCCAACACAUCACAUCGCAGCUGCAAAUCUGGCUCUGUUACUAUCGUCUUUGUUCCAGAUCUCUGUUAUUAUCGUCUCCGUCCCACCUCUCUCUCUUCACUCUCUCCUCUCCGUGCUAUGCAGAUCUGCCUUUUCUCUGGUGAGUGCAUGGUUGGCGACGUUGUACUGGAUCGUACUCUUUUGCUGCCUGUGUGGCUAAUUUGGGUGGUGACGUGGUGUUGGUGAGGUGUUUGUAGGUUGGUGUAUUGUUUGGAUGUGAUGGUUUCCGGCGUGUUGGCGAUGGAGACGUUGGUUAUGUUUUGUUGGUGUGUUUGGUGGUGGCAAUCGUGGUUGUUUCUGACGACGGUGAAUGCGUUCACGUUAGCAGUGGUAAUGUGGGCAGUGUUGGUGAGGUUGUGGGUUGUAUAUUAUUGGUGUGUUAGGUGGUGGCAAUCGUGGUGGUUCCGACGAUGGAGGAGGUUGUUGGUGGCUGUGGUUAUCCUGAUUUUUGUUGGCAUUUGAUUUGAUUUGGUGGUGUUGAUUUGUUGGCAUUGGUGUUGAUGCUGUUGUGGUGUCGAAGACGGUAACGUGGUGAUGGCGGUCACAAAUGGUGGUGAUGACGGUGGCGGUGCAUAGUGUUGCUUGUGGUGGUAUGUGACCGCUAUUUGACGCAUGUGACGAACCAUUUAGUUAUCUAUAACUAACUGUGUAAGUGUGAUUUAAGAAUUUGACAAUCGACGAUAAAUUAAUUUGAUCUUGAACUAAUCUAAGACUUGUAAAUUUUGAAUUUGUGACCUCGAAAUAAUCUGCGACCUAUAAGAUUUUUGAUUUGUGACAUCAAAAUAAUCUAUGACCAGUAAAUAAAUUUGUGACAUAUAAUUACGAAUCCGUGAUCAUUAAUCGUUUAACUGUGACUUUAUUAUAUUUAAUUAAUAAAUAUUUUCAAUUAAUUAUAUAAAUACCUGAAUUUUGAAAUUUUACACUAUGUACCUGAUUUGUGAAUUGGUGUAAACAAUACACUUAACUAUGAAUUUUUCCCCUUUAUCGAUUGUAAACAAUCUGAAGAAUAAUUAAACUUCC